rnacentral:misc_RNA from 1 species
CUGUCUCUCUGUGCGCACAGAUGUCUAAUCAGAUUUUGCGUUAACGUGUUUGAAUCUCUGCGUACGCGCAUAUACUCAUACAGGGGAGGGAGAGAUAUACAUAGAAACACAGAGAGAAUGUCGAAGAAGAAAGCUUUCAGUGGCAAUACUAUGACUCUCAAGGACUUUCAUGGCGGUUCUAUCCCGACUGAUCUUCCUCUUCCAUCUGCUCCUGGUGUAAUUGUUAGGUCUUCGGAGUGGUCUGGUUGCGAUCGACCAAAUGCAUGGGGAGGGCCAAUGGGUCGUCCCGAUCACCGGGCUAGGCCUAAUUCGUCCCCUGCUACUAGGCAUUUCGAUGAUAAAACCCCCUUUCUUAGUCAUACAGCACAGAUUGGCCGUCAUUUCGAUGAGGAUGAACGCAAGCCUUUAGAUGGUGUUUCGGCCCCACGCCGGACAGUCAAUGAUGAGAGCUUUCGUGUCCCACAGAGUAGGAUGGAGUUGAAACCAGAGCCUGUGUUGAGUGGAAUGUUGUCAGGUUCAGCUUCAGGGGUACAGGUUGCAAGUUCAUACUCAGGAAGGGUUAGCGAUGGGGUUCAUGUGGGGGCAAGUCUGCAGAAUGUAG